rnacentral:lncRNA from 1 species
AUGAUGGAUUUUAUCUCGUUCCCCGACGUGCGAACCCAGAGAGACGGCAGAGAGCACGGGAGUCAGGGCGACCCCUCCGUCGCGGAGGAAGCGCACUGGGCCGGGGGAGGGCGGCGCCCGGCGGCGCGGGUCCCGGGCGCGGGGACUGGAAAGGCCGUGCGCUCCCCGGGCGUCCGCUCGGUGCCUUCGCCGCGCGCACUCAGGACUCGGCCUCCAGCGACCCGAGGGCACAUCUCAGCGGGACUGUCCCAUCAGGCCGAGCCCCCGCCACUUUUCCUCCAGCGGCCCGCAGACAGAGGGUCCCCUGGAAAGCAAACUCGCGCCUUAGACGCGGAGGGAGAGGAAGGUUCCGUCUUGGGAAGGGAGCUCCGCGUGCCGCCGGCCGCUCUGGGUCCCCGCAUCCCUUCUGCUUCUGCCGCCCUUUGCGCCUCCCAGCCAUGUCCCGCGCUCUUCUGCCUCUUCCUCAGGCGGCGGGGACGCAGGAGGCGGGUUCUCUCAGUGGCGCCGUCCACAGGGACAAUGCAGGCAUAUCAGGGUGACCGGAGCCUGGGGUGCCCCUGCGGCCCUCGUGCAGCUCUGCCCAGCCGCUCAGCAUCGGAGGCCUCUGCAUCGCCAUCAAGGGACCCAGCGACCGAGCCAGUGCCACCCCUCGUCAGGGUUACCCCGGGGCUUCGGGUAAAAGGCAGAAGCUGCGUCCACUACAUCCUGGACCACGAGGAGUGUUCACAGGACUGAUGGUCCGUUCGUGAGGACAUUGUAGGUACAAGAACCUGUGAUGGCGCUAACUGGGUCAUUACUGACUGUCUUAGUUUUGGGGUGGACAGGUCGAGACCUGAAUUGGAAGUACUGUAGUUUAUUCAAAUAGUCUAUUUUAUUCAGAAUUUUAACAUAUUCUAGUCUAACUUGUUCAGAUCUUAUGCAGAAUUUCUAGCUCCUGAGUCUCCAUUGGACACAGGACUGCUGUUAGGCUGAGCUUUGAAACUGACUCUGGGAAAUCUCAUCCUUUCCUCCCAAACUCAGCCAGAGAGAGGAAUCCUGGCUACAGACUCCAGCCUUGUGGAGACCAGGAGUCCCUGAUUCACCUCCACCGGGCCGUGGAGGAGUUUGCAGAUCUGAGUGUCAAGGCUAGACUAUUUGGAAUAUACUUUGUUUUAGAUAUGAGUUGCAAACCAUAUAAAACCGAAUUAAAGUUUUAACAUUUGGCCUUUAGACAUUGAAAACACAAUGUACAAAUGAACCUAAUUGUGCAAAAAUGUUAUAGAACAACCAAAUGGAUUAGAACUAUUCCACGAGACUUUAAAACAAUAAUUUAUCUAUACCCCAGGACAGUAAGAAAACCAAAAGCUACUUUUCUCAAUCGUGUUGCUAGUGGUGUUGCUGCUAUCAUCUUUAUUCGUGUGUCUGUAUAAUGUGGGAAAAGCAAACGUUGUGGGAUAUUCUAAUUCUACUACUCCCUGUGUCCUUAACGCACAAUGCUUGGUGUUAGAGGAGGAGAUUUAGAUGAAAAACAAACGUUCAGUAAAAGCCCUGUGGUUCUCAAUUCGAAUUGGCAGUGUUUGCGAAUCUAUUUGAAGCAACUGGUAUGAAUUAAAGGUCCUCCUGGAAGAAAAUAGGACCUCAGAAUCAGAACACGCCACGCCUAUCCCCCAGACCUUAUGUCCGUUAGAAUCGCCCCAAAGAGAGAGACCCAGACCUGAGAAAUCAACUUAGCCACUCAAAGCACCCAACCUUCCUACAUAGACUUUGGUUUCUCGUUCAGGGAAACUUAGGCAUGUUGACAUGCAAAUCACACAGCAGACAUGUGUUCCAAGGUGACAGAAGAGAAGAACAGAAAUAGAGAGUCAAAAAUUUCAGCUCAUGAAAGGAUUUCUCUCCAGAUCAAUCACACAGCAUAGGAAAACUCUAAAAUGACAUACAAUGAAUCUGAGUUAAACGUGCCCAACAAAGCAUUUGUACACACGAACAAAACAAAACCACAUAAGAAAUACACAACUCAAAAGAGAAGUGGACAAGAAACAGAAAAUGAGAAAUUAGACUUGGCAGAAAUUAGGGAAAAAUGGGAGAAAAAGAAAAUUCUCUGAAAAAUAGGCUAAAUGACAAGGUUCAUAAGGGCAACAUAUUUGUCUAAAAAUACUAUAAGGGACACAGAAUAAAGAAAUGGAAGCAUCAAACA